rnacentral:pre_miRNA from 14 species
GCGUUUCCAUCACGUCGAUUGCUGUCAGAGCCACGCCUAUGAAGAAUUUGUGCGGCUCUGAUACCAAUUGAUGCUAUGGAAACAU